GAUGAACGCCGGCGGCGUGCCUAAUACAUGCAAGUCGAGCGAACGGACGAGAAGCUUGCUUCUCUGAUGUUAGCGGCGGACGGGGGAGUAACACGUGGAUAACCUACCUAUAAGACUGGGAUAACUUCGGGAAACCGGAGCUAAUACCGGAUAAUAUUUUGAACCGCAUGGUUCAAAAGUGAAAGACGGUCUUGCUGUCACUUAUAGAUGGAUCCGCGCUGCAUUAGCUAGUUGGUAAGGUAACGGCUUACCAAGGCAACGAUGCAUAGCCGACCUGAGAGGGUGAUCGGCCACACUGGAACUGAGACACGGUCCAGACUCCUACGGGAGGCAGCAGUAGGGAAUCUUCCGCAAUGGGCGAAAGCCUGACGGAGCAACGCCGCGUGAGUGAUGAAGGUCUUCGGAUCGUAAAACUCUGUUAUUAGGGAAGAACAUAUGUGUAAGUAACUGUGCACAUCUUGACGGUACCUAAUCAGAAAGCCACGGCUAACUACGUG
rnacentral:rRNA from 1 species